rnacentral:rRNA from 1 species
AUUGAACGCUGGCGGCAGGCCUAACACAUGCAAGUCGAACGAGUGGCGGACGGGUGAGUAAUGUCUGGGAAACUGUCUGAUGGAGGGGGAUAACUACUGGAAACGGUAGCUAAUACCGCAUACCCUCAGAUGUGCCCAGCUGGGAUUAGCUAGUUGGGGGGGUAACGGCUCACAAAGGCGACGAUACCUAGCUGGUCUGAUAGGAUGACCAGCAACAUGGGAAUUGGGCCACGGCCCAGACUCCGACGGGAGGCAGCGGGGGGGAAUAUUGCACAAUGGGCGCAAGCCUGAGGCAGCCAGGCGGCGUGUAUGAAGAAGGCCUUCGGGUUGUAAAGUACUUUCAGCGGGGAGGCGGUACCCGCAGAAGAAGCACCGGCUAACUCCGUGCCAGCAGCCGCGGUAAUAC